CACGUUCUGAUCAAAACAAAACGUAAACAAAAACUGGAAUUUGCGCUAUAUGUCUGUUCAACCGUAAUUCACCGCUGUCACAUUAAGUGCACCCACACUUAUUAUAUAUCAUUUUGUUCAGGAGAAACAGGGCUUUAAUUUAUCAUUAACUAUUCAUAUAUGGAACAUAAUUUAUUAUGAAUAAAAUUUAAAAAAAUGUGACAAAAUAAGAUUUUUAUUUUUUUUAAUUUGUAUUUCCGUCUGACAUUUUAGCUGUUAAUGUCAUAAUACUGUUUUACUGCAAAAAAAUGCACAUAUUUGUAAUCAGCGAUGUCUCACGAGUACAACAGUACCCCCCAUUAACAGGUUUUAUGGUGUUUUGGAAAGUCACAGGGUCAAAUAUAGAACGUUCCAUUUCAAAUUUAAA